UUAAACAAUAAAAUAUAAUUCCUGGUUCAUUGUAGGUACUUAAUAAGUGUUAAAUAAAUAAAUAAAUACAUAGAACAAAUAGUGCCUUCCUGCUGCAUUUUUUUGAAUAUUAUAUUGAGAUAAAAUUCAACAGGUUUUAUGGAUGUUGUGUGUGAACGUAUUAUUAUUCUUGGGAGUCUUGAGCAGUUCAAAAAAGCAUUGAACACUUCUUAGAAACCUCUUAUUGAGAUGUUACAAGACAGAAACCUAUCAGAGCUUGUCAUCUUUAUAUUGAUGCCCUAUAUUAUUUUAAUGACGUGCUUUGUAGUCACAAAACGGGUGAUGGAUUGUGGACCUGACCAGUUCAGCUGACUUCCUUUCCAGUUUUCCUGUUUGAUUUUCUUACGUUUGUAUGUGUGAAGCUGCUAAAGGAAUACUGAGCCACUUUCCGUUAGAAGCUUCAAGAGUUCAGUGGUCAGCAUUGACAUGGUCUGCUUUUAUUCAUCUCUCAAUUGAACAUGUUUAGAGGGUGCUGUGUGUCUACGUUGCCACACGCACUCAGGUGAAGAUUUAUUCUGGCUCCUGUGCUGUCUGUUGUAAUCGUAGAAGGCCUUCUGGAAGAACCUGUGACCAUAAGAAAUUAGUUCAGAAGUAUCUGAAUGGUGUUUAGAUUUUACAGAUCUCUAUAAGCUUUCCUGUGUCUUUUAGUGGAUGAUUUAGGUUGAGGUCUUUAAGAACUUUGCUUAUAUAAAUAAAUUACUUCAAAUGCAGGGUUAAAGAGUGGCAUUCAAGACUAAUCCUGUGCCCUUCAUUGAUUAGACCUGGAAAAAAAAAACAGGUAGCACAUUCGUGAGAUAGGGUUCUCAGUAUACGAUGACUAGGACGAAUCAUCCCUUCCUGGGUCAGUCAUUUUGACUGCAGACGAUCUGCUCAGAAGUUGAGUCAGAAGUACCAAGCACCUGUCUACAGGUAUUGUACACGGUGGGAAUCCACCAGGAUGACAGAAACAGGUCCCUGCCCACAUGAAGCUGAAUUGAUUUGGUCUGGAUCAAAUGAUAUGACAAUAAAAUAGACACACAUUCAUCCUGUUAUGAGCAUGAAGCAGAAUAUCUAAACCGGUCUCCGGUAACAGACGUGCUUUCUGGAAUGUCAUUUCUUCCUGCAGACAUUCAUGGAGUUCCACAAUCAUUUAAUGUCACAUGUUAAUGUUUUUUGAGGACCUUAAAGCUAGUGUGAUGGCUACCAAGAAAAUGGAGAGAAACCACUGGAAAACAAUGAGAAUUUAGUAGGAUGGUGGUUAGAAGAUCAGAAGCUUAAGAAGGUGGUUAGAAGGUCCAAAAGGUAUGUGAUAGUUUACCAAAUCACCGACAGUAACCAGUUAGAGAAUAUGGUGGAAAAGAGGUGCCCCUCCAAAACUAUCAAAUUACAACCUAUCCAAGAACAAAAAUAGGAUGCCCAGUAGCUUCAGCAUCUAGCAUAGUUUAAUUCAUCAAAUCCUCAUCACAGUUUCAGGGCAACUGCUGUUGUUCCCAGAUGCAGAUGCUUAGGCUUACAGAAGAGGAAACCUUGCUCUGGGCACACGGUCAGACUUGUAGAGCCAGAAAGCCUGACUCCAGAGCUCAUUUUUAACUAGCCUGUUAUAUGGCUUUUCACUGUCCUCAUUAGGGAAGAAAACCUGUCAAGAAACAUGCUAUGGUUACCUCCCCCAGAUUCAUGCCAGUCCAAAACCUGCAAAUGUGACCUUAUUGGGAAAUGGGGUCAUUGCAGAUGUAAUCAAUUAAGAUGAAGUCAUGCUGGAUUAGGAUGGGUCAUCA
rnacentral:lncRNA from 1 species